AAAUGCAACUGAAAACAAAAC
rnacentral:sRNA from 1 species